rnacentral:rRNA from 1 species
GGGAAAAUUGGUCAAUGGCCAAACGGCUGAACCGGCACUUGGAAGAAUGUAAAAUGAUUAUGUUGUAUAAAGUUCUAGAUAGAAAACUGAUAAUGACAACUAUCUAUCUAUUAGUCUUGACCAAAUUACGUGCCAGCAGUCGCGGUAAUACGCAGAAGACAAGUGUUAUUCAUCUUUAUUCGGUUUAAAGGGUACCUAGACGGGAAAUCAAGCCAUAGUAGGGACUAAUUUUCUAGAGUUUUAUGGGGGAAAGUCGAAUAUUGUGAGGAGAGAUAAAAUAUGUUGAUACUAGAUGGACUGGUAACGGUGUAGACAACUUUCUAUGUAAAAACUGACGUUGAGGGACGAAGCCCCCCUAGUAGCAAGAAGGAUUAGAUACCCUAGUAGUUGGGGGAGACAAUGAUGAGUGUCAUAGGCUAGUAAUAUUAGUUUAUAAAUGAAAGUGCAAGCAUUCCACCUCAAGAAUAAAGCGGCAUCGCCCAAAUUGAAAUCAUUAGACCGUUCCUGAAACCAGUACUGAAGUAUGCCCCUUAAUUCGAUGAUCCACGAAUAACCUUACCACGUCUUGAAUAUUACUAGUGGUUGAUCCAAUUUAAUUUAAUAGUAAUACAAGCGCUGCACGGCUGUCUUUAGUUAAUGUCGUGAGAUUGUGGUUAAUUCCUUCAAUUAACGAAAACCCUUAUAUUAUAUCUAUAUAUAAUAUAGUUCUCUACUAGAUCGGAUAAGAUAACAGGGAUUAAGGCAAGUCAUCAUGGCCAAAAUGACGUGGGCUUGAGAUGUGCCACAUAUACCUUCACAAAGGGAUGCGAUAUUGUGAAAUGGAGCUAAUC